GACUUCUCCGGUGGCCUAGUGGUUAGAGCGUCCGCUUCGGAUGGUGGAGGGCGCGGGUUUGAAUCCCGACCUAGUCA